ACUCCACGGGAGGCAGCAGUGGGGAAUAUUGCACAAUGGGGGAAACCCUGAUGCAGCAACGCCGCGUGGAGGAUGACGCAUUUCGGUGUGUAAACUCCUUUUAUAUGGGAAGAUAAUGACGGUACCAUAUGAAUAAGCACCGGCUAACUCCGUGCCAGCAGCCGCGGUAAUACGGAGGGUGCAAGCGUUACUCGGAAUCACUGGGCGUAAAGCGCGCGCAGGCGGCCCGAUAAGUUGGAUGUGAAAGCCUAUGGCUCAACCAUAGAACUGCAUCCAAAAUUGUCGGGCUAGAGUCUGGGAGGGGAAGAUGGAAUUAGUUGUGUAGGGGUAAAAUCCGUAGAGAUAACUAGGAAUACCAAAAGCGAAGGCGAUCUUCUGGAACAGUACUGACGCUGAGGCGCGAAAGCGUGGGGAGCAAACAGGAUUAGAUACCCUGGUAGUCCACGCCCUAAACGAUGAAUGUUAGUCGUUGGAGUCCUAGUGACUUCAGUGAUGCAGCUAACGCAUUAAACAUUCCGCCUGGGGAGUACGGUCGCAAGAUUAAAACUCAAAGGAAUAGACGGGGACCCGCACAAGUGGUGGAGCAUGUGGUUUAAUUCGAAGAUACGCGAAGAACCUUACCUGGCCUUGACAUUGAUGGAACCUGCUAGAGAUAGCGGGGUGCCCUUCGGGGAGCCUGAAAACAGGUGCUGCGCGGCUGUCGUCAGCUCGUGUCGUGAGAUGUUGGGUUAAGUCCCGCAACGAGCGCAACCCUCGUCACUAGUUACUAACGGUUCGGCCGAGGACUCUAGUGAGACUGCCUUCGCAAGGAGGAGGAAGGUGAGGACGACGUCAAGUCAUCAUGGCCCUUACGGCCAGGGCAACACACGUGCUACAAUGGGUAGGACAAUGAGACGCGAUACCGCGAGGUGGAGCAAAUCUAUAAACCUACUCUCAGUUCGGAUUGUAGUCUGCAACUCGACUGCAUGAAGCUGGAAUCACUAGUAAUCGUAGAUCAGCUAUGCUACGGUGAAUACGUUCCCGGGUCUUGCACUCACCGCCCGUC
rnacentral:rRNA from 1 species